rnacentral:rRNA from 1 species
GACGAACCUUGCGAACGUUGUCCGGAAUCACUGGGCUUAAAGGGCGCGUAGGCGGGCCAUCAAGUCCGGGGUGAAAUCCUCCGGCUUAACCGGAGAAUUGCCUUGGAUACUGGUGGUCUUGAGGGAAGUAGGGGUCUGCGGAACUUCCGGUGGAGCGGUGAAAUGUGUUGAUAUCGGAAGGAACGCAGGUGGCGAAAGCGGCGGACUGGGCUUCUUCUGACGCUGAGGCGCGAAAGCUAGGGGAGCAAACGGG